GUGGGGAAUAUUGGACAAUGGGCGAAAGCCUGAUCCAGCCAUGCCGCGUGUGUGAAGAAGGUCUUCGGAUUGUAAAGCACUUUAAGUUGGGAGGAAGGGCAGUAAGUUAAUACCUUGCUGUUUUGACGUUACCGACAGAAUAAGCACCGGCUAACUUCGUGCCAGCAGCCGCGGUAAUACGAAGGGUGCAAGCGUUAAUCGGAAUUACUGGGCGUAAAGCGCGCGUAGGUGGUUUUGUAAGUUGGAGGUGAAAUCCCCGGGCACAACCUGGGAACUGCCUCCAAAACUGCAUGACUAGAGUACGGUAGAGGGUAGUGGAAUUUCCUGUGUAGCGGUGAAAUGCGUAGAUAUAGGAAGGAACACCAGUGGCGAAGGCGACUACCUGGACUGAUACUGACACUGAGGUGCGAAAGCGUGGGGAGCAAACAGGAUUAGAUACCCGUGUAGUCC
rnacentral:rRNA from 1 species